GCGACAUUAGCUCAGUUGGUUAGAGCAAAGAACUCAUAAUUCUUGGGUCGCUGGUUCAAAUCCAGCAUGUCGCACCA
rnacentral:tRNA from 1 species